rnacentral:rRNA from 1 species
GUAGUUGAUCCGUGCACGAGGACGACGCUGGCGGCGUGCUUAACACAUGCAAGUCGAACGGAAAGGCCCUGCUUUUGUCGGGGUGCUCGAGUGGCGAACGGGUGAGUAACACGUGAGUAACCUGCCCUUGACUUUGGGAUAACUUCAGGAAACUGGGGCUAAUACCGGAUAGGAGCUCCUGCUGCAUGGUGGGGGUUGGAAAGUUUCGGCGGUUGGGGAUGGACUCGCGGCUUAUCAGCUUGUUGGUGGGGUAGUGGCUUACCAAGGCUUUGACGGGUAGCCGGCCUGAGAGGGUGACCGGCCACAUUGGGACUGAGAUACGGCCCAGACUCCUACGGGGAGGCAGCAGUGGGGGAAUAUUGCACAAUGGGCGAAAGCCUGACGGAGCAAUGCCGCGUGGAGGUGGAAGGCCUACGGGUCGUCAACUUCUUUUCUCGGAGAAGAAACAAUGACGGUAUCUGAGGAAUAAGCAUCGGCUAACUCUGUG